GUAAAAGAAAUGGUUGAGAAAAUUAUGAGAGGUCAAGAAAAAUAUGAAUAAGUGAAUCUCAAAAGUUGGAUGAAAAAAUGUUUGAAAAUGAUCAAAAAUAAAAGGGAAAAUGAAAAUUAAAUGUAAAAUAAAAGGAAAACAUCAAUUAAAUGCAAAAACUAUUUUAAAAAUUAUGCAAAAUAUAUAUGUGAUGCAAACAUUUUUAAAUAUUUUUUGGAAAAAUUGGAAUCAAAAAGGUCAAAGGAGCUAUUUAAAAUUAAUUUUGAAAGUUAAUAAAAAAAGAAAACAAAAUAAUAAAACAAAUAAAAGAAUAAAAGCGCGCAAACGGCUAGAAAUUUGAAAAAAUGCGUUGUCAUGUUUCUAUUGGUUGGAAUUCAAACUUUGCAACCGACACGCACGAAGAUCAACUUUGUCUUCAAC
rnacentral:lncRNA from 1 species